rnacentral:rRNA from 2 species
UAUGUACAUAUCGCCCGUCGCUUUCAUUUAAGGUGAAAUAAGUCGUAACAUAGUAGGGGCACUGGAAAGUACCCCUAGAAUUUUAG